rnacentral:sRNA from 1 species
GUCACUGAGGGUUGACUGACUGGAGAGCUCAAGUGCAGCAAAGAGAAGUGUCAGAGCAUGAGCGCCAAGUCCAGAACCAUAGGGAUUAUUGGAGCUCCUUUCUCAAAGGGACAGAGUGUGAUGUGAAGGAUUAUGGGGACCUGCCCUUUGCUGACAUCCCUAAUGACAGUCCCUUUCAAAUUGUGAAGAAUCCAAGGUCUGUGGGAAAAGCAAGCGAGCAGCUGGCUGGCAAGGUGGCAGAAGUCAAGAAGAACGGAAGAAUCAGCCUGGUGCUGGGCGGAGACCACAGUUUGGCAAUUGGAAGCAUCUCUGGCCAUGCCAGGGUCCACCCUGAUCUCGGAGUCAUCUGGGUGGAUGCUCACACUGAUAUCAACACUCCACUGACAACCACAAGUGGAAACUUACAUGGACAACCUGUAUCUUUCCUCCUGAGGGAACUAAAAGGAAAGAUUCCCGAUGUGCCAGGAUUCUCCUGGGUGACUCCCUGCAUAUCUGCCAAGGAUAUUGUGUAUAUUGGCUUGAGAGAUGUGGACCCUGGGGAACACUACAUUUUGAAAACUCUAGGCAUUAAAUACUUUUCAAUGACUGAAGUGGACAGACUAGGAAUUGGCAAGGUGAUGGAAGAAACACUCAGCUAUCUACUAGGAAGAAAGAAAAGGCCAAUUCAUCUGAGUUUUGAUGUUGACGGACUGG